rnacentral:rRNA from 1 species
UACAGAGGUCUCAAGCGUUGUUCGGAUUCAUUGGGCGUAAAGGGUGCGUAGGUGGCGGGGUAAGUCAGGUGUGAAAUCUCGGGGCUCAACCCCGAAACUGCACUUGAUACUGCCUUGCUCGAGUACUGGAGAGGAGAUUGGAAUUUACGGUGUAGCAGUGAAAUGCGUAGAUAUCGUAAGGAAGGCCAGUGGCGAAGGCGAAUCUCUGGACAGUUACUGACACUGAGGCGCGAAGGCCAGGGGAGCAAACGGG